CAAGCAAAAGAUAUUAGAAGAAAAGGGCUUCAAGUGGCGUGUCUGUGGAGAAGAAGCUCAAGUUUGUAAAGCUUUGAAGCGUUUCAAUUUGAUGAAGCCAAGCCAACAACCGCAAGAACUGGUCGGUUUGCUUUGAAAGAUGGAGUGAAUGGAAGGUGAACAUUGAUGUUCUUCCUCAAUUCUCUAAAGAAAAAUAACAUAGCCCACAAUUCCUGUCAAUUCUCAACCCUAAAGAAUACAAGAGGCUCCAUUUGUGGUGGUGUCCCAACUGGAAGAUCGGAUCGAGAUCUAUUUGAGUGAAUAUGCGAAGAAAUGUUCUUCAAAAGUAUGUUUCUUCUUCCAAAUUCCUUAUCCAAUGCUGUAAAAUUAAGAUAUUUUAAUACAUAUCCUUAUGCUAUUUGUUCUGUAAUUUUAACAAUUAUGUGAAAUAAGAAAAAUGAGAACGAUCCUCACUUUCCGCAUCGAAA